rnacentral:rRNA from 1 species
GUGUAGCGUACCUACUAGCCUACGACGGGUACGGGUUGUGAGAGCAAGAGCCCGGAGAUGGAUUCUGAGACACGAAUCCAGGCCCUACGGGGUGCAGCAGGCGCGAAAACUUUACAAUGCUGGCAACAGCGAUAAGGGAACCUCGAGUGCCAGGUUACAAAUCUGGCUGUCGAGAUGCCUAAAAAGCAUUUCAUAGCAAGGGCCGGGCAAGACCGGUGCCAGCCGCCGCGGUAACACCGGCGGCUCGAGUGGUAACCGUUAUUAUUGGGUCUAAAGGGUCUGUAGCCGGCCGGAUAAGUCUCUUGGGAAAUCCAGCAGCUCAACUGUUGGGCUUUCAGGAGAUACUGUCUGGCUCGAGGCCGGGAGAGGUGAGAGGUACUUCAGGGGUAGGGGUGAAAUCUUGUAAUCCUUGAAGGACCACCAGUGGCGAAGGCGUCUCACCAGAACGGACCUGACGGCAAGGGACGAAAGCUAGGGGCACGAACCGGAUUAGAUACCCGGGUAGUCCUAGCCGUAAACGAUACUCGCUAGGUGUCGGCCACGGUGCGACCGUUGUCGGUGCCGUAGGGAAGCCGUGAAGCGAGC